rnacentral:rRNA from 1 species
UACGUAGGGUGCAAGCGUUGUCCGGAAUUAUUGGGCGUAAAGAGCUCGUAGGCGGUUUGUCGCGUCUGCUGUGAAAACUCGGGGCUUAACUCCGGGCCUGCAGUGGGUACGGGCAAGCUAGAAUUCGGUAGGGGAGACUGGAAUUCCUGGUGUAGCGGUGAAAUGCGCAGAUAUCAGGAGGAACACCGGUGGCGAAGGCGGGUCUCUGGGCCGAAAUUGACGCUGAGGAGCGAAAGCGUGGGGAGCAAACAGG